GCGCCGUCCGUGCCGUCCGCGCCUGAGAGGACAACAGCGAAUGCCAUCCAAGAUGAGCCAGCGGUUCGACGAAUAGCUGUUUGCGGGUUUCUUCAUACACAACAACAUAAGCCCUCAACAACAUAACACCCAGGCAAGCGCAGCCGAAAGCCGUAUUUGGAGGAGACCAGCAGCAGCAAGUGUGUCGAUGUUUUAGCAUCAAGGAGACGGGAAGGAAAUGGAUUCUACGCCGUGGAAAUGGGAAACAAGCCGUACCGACGACGGCGACCGGAUGGUAUGAAGGGAGCCCAGCUGAAGGGAGCAAAAAAGCAGCAGCACAUCAACUGCAACGGUCGUCGAUACGAAACACCAACGACGAUGCACGUUUGGCCGCACUCGGAAGCCCUGGCCCUGGCAUUCGGAUUGUUGGUGUCCGCGUUAUCUAUCUGGACAGCAGGCGGCGUUAUUCCCUCCGAC